rnacentral:ncRNA from 1 species
CUAUAGUUCGCACUUCGCGGCAAAAUCCGCGAACGACCUUGGCCGGUCGAAUU